CAGUCAAGUCUGUGGACCAAGUUGGCUCAACUCUAGUGAAGCCUGUAACACUCUCCCCUGGGGGACAGAGGACAGGAUAGGGGCUGGAUGUGCCUCCCCUGCUCAAGGAUCCAUGCUGGAUACUGGACAUGCUGCCUCGAGAGGGCUCUCCGAACAUUCCAGCUCACGGUCCUCUGGCAAAAGCCAAAAUCCAGAGCCUGGGGAAGUUUUCAUCUCCCAGGCUGGUGGGCGUGGGGAGAGCUAAACCUGGGGCGGUCCGCUGGCCUUCAGAAAGCAGAGGCAAAGAAAAUCGAGUUGUGAGGACUGGAGGUGUAGCCCAGGGGUGGAGCGCUUGCCUAGCAGGCACAGCCCCGGGUGCUAUCCCCAGCACCAGGGGGAAAGAAUAGAGUUGAUUCCAGGGCCCCGGAGCCCUGAUGCACCCGCCACGAACCAAACCGGGAGCCGAGGAGCCGAUUCCCUCAGCAGAACCAGACGGUGAGGACCCUGGUCCAGGAAGCGCAGCCGAACUUGGCCCAAGAUGAGUCCUCAGUUCCAAGCCAGGCUCGUGCCAAGAUGCUCUUUGACCUGGAGGUGCGUAGCAAGUUCUCAGACCCUCUGGGCCUCGGUUUCCCCAUCUGUGAACCAUUACUUCUAUAGACGGAGGCAGGGGAGAAUGGGACUCCAGCCCUGGGAACGAGGCCUCCGAAGCCGAUCCCAACAAGCUUUCCUGGAGCAGCUGUGACAGAUGCGCAGCAAGUAUUCCAGGGUUUAC
rnacentral:lncRNA from 1 species